GGGGUUGUGGCUCAGUGAUUGAGCACUUGCCUCGUAUGCAUGAAACACUGGGUUCGAUCCUCAGCACCA
rnacentral:tRNA from 1 species